CAGCAGCCGCGGGAAUACGUAGGUGGCAAGCGUUGUCCGGAAUUAUUGGGCGUAAAGGGCUCGCAGGCGGUUUCUUAAGUCUGAUGUGAAAGCCCCCGGCUUAACCGGGGAGGGUCAUUGGAAACUGGGAAACUUGAGUGCAGAAGAGGAGAGUGGAAUUCCACGUGUAGCGGUGAAAUGCAUAGAGAUGUGGAGGAACACCAGUGGCGAAGGCGACUCUCUGGUCUGUAACUGACGCUGAGGAGCGAAAGCGUGGGGAGCGAACAGGAUUAGAUACCCGUGUAGUCCCUGUCUCUUAUAC
rnacentral:rRNA from 1 species